AACCGUACAGGAUCAAGGGAGGAAUAUGUAUUAGAGAAGAAUCCAGAAAAUGCGGAGGACUUUGCUGCCAAUAUCAUUCUGUCACAGUAACAAGAAAUGCCUAAUUCUUUAUUUUGUACGGUCAAAUUGGCAUUGGUUUU